rnacentral:siRNA from 1 species
UGUACAAUUAUAGCUGUUCGCCA